rnacentral:tRNA from 1 species
UCCUUCGUGGUGCAGUGGUCAGCACGCUUGGCGUGCAUUCAAGAAGUUCGUGGUUCGAAUCCCGGAGGGG